rnacentral:rRNA from 1 species
AACGCUAGCUACAGGCUUAACACAUGCAAGUCGAGGGGCAGCAUGGCCUUAGCUUGCUAAGGCCGAUGGCGACCGGCGCACGGGUGAGUAACACGUAUCCAACCUGCCGUCUACUCUUGGACAGCCUUCUGAAAGGAAGAUUAAUACAAGAUGGCAUCAUGAGUCCGCAUGUUCACAUGAUUAAAGGUAUUCCGGUAGACGAUGGGGAUGCGUUCCAUUAGAUAGUAGGCGGGGUAACGGCCCACCUAGUCUUCGAUGGAUAGGGGUUCUGAGAGGAAGGUCCCCCACAUUGGAACUGAGACACGGUCCAAACUCCUACGGGAGGCAGCAGUGAGGAAUAUUGGUCAAUGGGCGAGAGCCUGAACCAGCCAAGUAGCGUGAAGGAUGACUGCCCUAUGGGUUGUAAACUUCUUUUAUAAAGGAAUAAAGUCGGGUAUGGAUACCCGUUUGCAUGUACUUUAUGAAUAAGGAUCGGCUAACUCCGUGCCAGCAGCCGCGGUAAUACGGAGGAUCCGAGCGUUAUCCGGAUUUAUUGGGUUUAAAGGGAGCGUAGAUGGAUGUUUAAGUCAGUUGUGAAAGUUUGCGGCUCAACCGUAAAAUUGCAGUUGAUACUGGAUAUCUUGAGUGCAGUUGAGGCAGGCGGAAUUCGUGGUGUAGCGGUGAAAUGCUUAGAUAUCACGAAGAACUCCGAUUGCGAAGGCAGCCUGCUAAGCUGCAACUGACAUUGAGGCUCGAAAGUGUGGGUAUCAAACAGGAUUAGAUACCCUGGUAGUCCACACGGUAAACGAUGAAUACUCGCUGUUUGCGAUAUACUGCAAGCGGCCAAGCGAAAGCGUUAAGUAUUCCACCUGGGGAGUACGCCGGCAACGGUGAAACUCAAAGGAAUUGACGGGGGCCCGCACAAGCGGAGGAACAUGUGGUUUAAUUCGAUGAUACGCGAGGAACCUUACCCGGGCUUAAAUUGCAGAUGAAUUACGGUGAAAGCCGUAAGCCGCAAGGCAUCUGUGAAGGUGCUGCAUGGUUGUCGUCAGCUCGUGCCGUGAGGUGUCGGCUUAAGUGCCAUAACGAGCGCAACCCUUGUUGUCAGUUACUAACAGGUUCCGCUGAGGACUCUGACAAGACUGCCAUCGUAAGAUGUGAGGAAGGUGGGGAUGACGUCAAAUCAGCACGGCCCUUACGUCCGGGGCUACACACGUGUUACAAUGGGGGGUACAGAGGGCCGCUACCACGCGAGUGGAUGCCAAUCCCCAAAACCUCUCUCAGUUCGGACUGGAGUCUGCAACCCGACUCCACGAAGCUGGAUUCGCUAGUAAUCGCGCAUCAGCCACGGCGCGGUGAAUACGUUCCCGGGCCUUGUACACACCGCCCGUCAAGCCAUGGGAGCCGGGGGUACCUGAAGUGCGUAACCGCGAGGAGCGCCCUAGGGUAAAACUGGUGACUGGGGCUA